GCUGACACAUGGCUGUCACCAUCCAGAAAGUCAUUACUUUUUGGACCUGGGACCCACGCGUCCCCGUCAUGUUGGGACUGCCAAGUCGUGUGGCCACUCCUGCUGUGGUCUAAGGGGUCUAGAGGUUCCCCCCCAGAAGUCAGGACCAAGGAGGGAGAGACGGAGGGAGGACUCCGGAGGACACUGGAGCCCCUGGGCAGGGAGUCCUGGAGUGAAGAGCCAGGUGCUGAGGACUCACGGAGUGGCCUCCAACCUGCGAUCCUCUGGGCUCACCCUCCCGAGUCACUGGGAUUACAGGGGUGUGCCACCACACCUGACCCUUGUGUGUCUUCUGGAGGGUGGCACAUGUCAUGUGAAGCCCAAGACAGGGGUCCUAUGUUUUCACAGGACAGCACAGUGGUGAUGGCCCCCUCCUGCCACCCCAUGGUCUUGGUGGCAGUGUUUGCAGGCUCUGUCCAGACAUGGAGACAUGGAGAGUCUAGGUGACAUACUGACAAGGUUCCAAGCCUUUAGGGAUGAAGCAGAAGUCGUGGAAGAUACUUUGAUGGUCUAGGAGGCAACGCAGGCCAAGGUGCCCGGGAUGAGAUCUGGACGUUCUCUGCUUCAGAGUUGCUUGUCCCCGCAGUACAGGAGACCAUCUUAAAUGGCACAUUCUCAUUCAAAUGAUGUCAAGGACAUCGGAGAAUUGUGCUGGGGAUCAGAACAUGAUACCCACAUGCAGCACCUCGGUACCUCCUGUUUUAAACUGAAGUCAGGUGAGAGAACAGCAGAAGCAGGAGGGGUCUCCCGGCCUGCUCUUGCCCUGCCCGGAGGCCUGGCUCAGCUCUACUGGGCCCUAAUCUGCCUUGCUUUGAGGACACUGCCUGAAGGUCAGGAAUCCCUCUGCAGGGUGGCUGGCUGGAAGCGCUGGGUCUGAGCCCCUGCCAGGGAGACCAGACACCUCUGACUUCAGGAAACAGAAGACGCGACAGUUCCUCCCCCACUUCCUUUGUCCUGUGUCCAUAACCUCCCCCCAAGGGGUGGGAAGCCAAUUUUAGAGUUUCUUUCCCAUUUCUACCCUUGGCCAAGGAUGGAAGCCUGCUUUGCUGCUCAGUCCAUGCUGGGUCUUGUUUCCUAAUUCCAAGAGAGAAAAGGGACUCAGGCUUUGGGAUCAAAACUGUGACAGAAGGCCACUCUCUGACCUUCUCCCACAGACCUGCAGGUGGCCGAUUCCUGCUGUGUACCCGGAAGAACACAGAAGCAGGGAGUCUGAACACACAGCCUUGUCCAGCUCCCUGCCUAGCCCUACAGGUCAUCCCCUCCUUGUCCAGGGGUGCCUCUGAAUGGUAUUUGUCAUCAACCCCAACAGGAACCAGGAGCAGAAGCACGUGCCUGUAAUCCCAGCAACUCUGGAGGCUGAAGCAGGAGGAUUGCAAGUUCAAGGCCGACCUCAGCAACUUAGUGAGACCCUGUCUCAAAAUACAAAAUAAAAAGGGCUGGGAUGUGGCUCAGUGGUUGAGCACCCCUGGGUUCAAUCCCCAGCACCAAGGGAAAACAAGAGCAUAAAAUGCGGUUUCUCUUGGGUCUUUGGGUCUUCAUUUCCUAGGCUCCUGGUCAUGUUGAAUAAAUAAGGCUCUGGUUAAAUAAAUAUGCCCUUCUCUUGUCAGCUGUCAUCUGUUAUGGAAGAGCAGCCGUGGCCCUGUGAUGAGUGAGCAAAGACACUGCUUUCUCUCCCCUGUCACUGCCACUGUCGCCAUUCAUUUUGCUGACAGGUCUGUCACUAACAAGGCUUAUAUGUGAAAGAAGCAUCCGGUGAAGUUAUACCUAGAACAUGGCCAUGAUUUCACCAAAGGCCCCCAGGCCUGCCGUGCACCCCACCACACCCUCUAGGAGUGGGACGUGGCGACGUCUUUCCCUCGCUGUUUACGGGGUCUCAACCUGCAGGGCUGAUGGACCCUGGCCCUUUGUCCUGUAGGGCUGGGCAAGACAGCGCUCUCUUUUCCAGAUCCACAAGCUCUCAAAUAGCACCUCAAAUCUGUUUUGUGUGACAAGUGUUUUGCUCGUAUUUCCCGAGUUGGCUGUGGGAGAGGAGGAUCCAGCUCAGUUCCCCGAGAGCACGCCCUCCUGGCUCCAAGACACCGAGUCUCAGGGGGAGCAGAAGCUUAUCUAGGAUUAUUUACCUGGUGCAGAAAUGGCUCUUUGAAAAGUCCUUCUGCUGCUGUGUCAACAGUGGCUCUUAGUUAAGCGUGAAUUAUUAACACAUUCUCAAGAGAAGGACACAGAGAGGCCAUUAGUGCUACAUCAUAGUUACUUAUGUGACACUUUUUGGCAGUUGCUUAAAACACUUGCAAAGUCUACAGACUCCAAACGUGCAGGGAGGCGGGCCCGUACACAGUUUGCACUGCAGUUUCACAGACUGGAAAUUAAGUGGCAGGGCUCGUAUUUCAAAGCGUUCUCUUAAUACCAAGGAAUCCUGUGGGUUGAGGAAGGAGUUUCUUUCUGAGGACAGAAAAACCCCCUUCCCAAAGCCACCCUCGAAGCCCCUCUGUCCCAUGUGGCUUGUUUUCCUCUAAAGUGGUUGCCACCUCCCUGUCUUUGUGCUAAUAAUCAACCAGCAUUUGGUGUCACCAGGUGGGAACAGAAUAUUCCAAGGACGUCAUGACCCAACUCCAGUUGCUAGGCGACAGCUCCUUCACCUGAGAUGGACAGAACAGGUUAGGGGAGAUACCAAAAAGCAGCCUUCUGUUUCAGAGUCUUCUAAUUCAGUGGACCCAACAGUGACGUCCUGGGUGUGGCCGGGUAAGCCGGACCCAGGAUCCCGUGAUAACAAGUGCCAAGCUGCUGAAGUCGCGCAGAGGAAUGUGUUUAAAGGAGUCGGAGCCCUGACAAGUCCUGAGCCUAAGACGGAGGUUAGGAGGAGGUGGGACUCCAGAGAAGCACGGCCCUCCUGCAGCUGCCUCGGUCCUGGGGCAUCUGCUGAUGGAGGCCAAGGAGCUAAGCAGCACUUUUGUCCUCCUCAUAGGCAGGAGGUCAAGAGCAGAGGUCUAGUGCCUGCCAAGGUCAGGACCUUCAUAAUGCCUGAACUUUGGGUGGGGAACACAGUGGGCCAUGCCCUCAGAGUAAGGAGGGAGAGAACUUAUCCUCACGUGGACCGUGGCUCUAAAGAUAUCUACCACUGAUGUUGUAUGCAGGUGACCCCAGGUUGUUAGUACCUCCUGGCACCUGGCUGAAAUAAAAGAAAACCAUUGCAACCUCCUUCCAGCCUCAAAUGAUUCCUAAGCAGUCUUCCAAAUACAGUCUUGUCAUUCCAUCCACGAUAACCAGAAGUACAAGGAGACACCACAUCGCAAAUUAGAACUAGCAAAGAACAGGCAAUCGGGACACACGAGGCUACAAAUGAAAGAAUUAUCAGACACAGUCUCUACAACAGCGAUGCUUAUGGCAUUCAAGGAUAUAAAAGAGCAUU